rnacentral:rRNA from 1 species
UUGGNCAAUGGGCGCAAGCCUGAUCCAGCCAUUCCGCGUGAGUGAUGAAGGCCCUAGGGUUGUAAAGCUCUUUCACCGGUGAAGAUAAUGACGGUAACCGGAGAAGAAGCCCCGGCUAACUUCGUCCNAGNNGCCGCGGUAAU